UGGGGAAUCUUCCGCAAUGGACGAAAGUCUGACGGAGCAACGCCGCGUGAGUGAUGACGGUCUUCGGAUUGUAAAGCUCUGUUAAUCGGGACGAAUGGUUUGUGUGCAAAUAGUGCAUAGACAUGACGGUACCGGAAUAGAAAGCCACGGCUAACUACGUGCCAGCAGCCGCGGUAAUACGUAGGUGGCAAGCGUUGUCCGGAAUUAUUGGGCGUAAAGCGCGCGCAGGCGGACUAGCUAGUCAGUCUUAAAAGUUCGGGGCUUAACCCCGUGAUGGGAUUGAAACUACUAGUCUAGAGUAUCGGAGAGGAAAGUGGAAUUCCUAGUGUAGCGGUGAAAUGCGUAGAUAUUAGGAAGAACACCAGUGGCGAAGGCGACUUUCUGGACGAACACUAACGCUGAGGCGCGAAAGCCAGGGGAGCGAACGGG
rnacentral:rRNA from 1 species